rnacentral:lncRNA from 1 species
UUAACACUAACAGCGGUGAAUACACAAAAAGGGGAGGAAAAGAAAAAAAAAGGUGGCGCAGCUCCUUCUGAAAGCAAGAGUAGCCGCUUCUUUGUUCUUGAACACAAAAAUACACCCAAAUAUGCAUCCAUGAAAGAGUAGCAAAUCUCCCCCGUUACCAUCUCAUUGUUUCCUCCAAAAGUAUCUCUUGAAACUUCAUCAAAUCCAACCUAAUAAACCUCCAAAAAAUGCAGCAACGAGUUGCUGCAACCAGCCCCUAAAAUCAACUCCUCUCACCUCCAAAACACCCAUCAAACUAACUCCAAACAACCACCAUAAAACCCAGCUUCAACAUCAUGAAAGCCAGUGAGAAACCUCCAUUAAAAUGCUCCAAACAGCCAUGAAAGAGUAGGAACUACCACCCAAAACAUCUCGGUUUGCGUCGGUCUUGUUUGAGUUUUAGUGUUUGAUUCGUUUGGUUGUUGGUUUCCAGUCGAGUUCUGAGAUGGUCGGGUCUUGCUCUGUGUUUCUGGGUCGAGGCUCUGUUUGCGUCCUUGUGAGUUAUUCGAGCUUCAGGAUGAUCUUGUAAAGGUCCACCUCUCAAACUUGUUCUUAAGUUCAUACCUUAUUGUUAACUUUAAUAAAUGUUAAAUCAAGUUUAUGCUUAUUUUGUGAUGGAAUGCAAUUUUCUUUAGUUUAAUGUGUUGGCCUACUGGAUUUAGCGUGUUAAUUUAAUCGGUCAUUCGAACUCUUAAUCGACUUGGGAUGAAUCCAUUGGAGCUUAAAGAUAAUUUCCUUAGACUAGUCAAGUAUUUGUGUCAUGUUUAAGAUAGUUUUAGCCGGGGUGCCAUGGUAUUUGAGUGUUGAUAAAAUUUGGGAUGAUAAUGAUGUUACGGGCUUUGUAGGAGAACUAUUUUAUAGAAAUUGGUACAAUUUUGGGCUUUAGGCCACUCUUUUCUUUUGUUAUCUAAUUAAGCCGUUGACAUUUGGCUGAGAAAUGAAAUGCGUUAUUGUAGUAUUUUGCUUCAACCUUCAUGCUAUAUGCUUGAGCCCCUCUAUGAUUUCGGUCAAGUUUUGCUCUAUUGAAAUAUAAUUUGAUUUAGAACAGAUGAAGCUUAGUAUUAUAUAGUUAAUCAAAUCUUAUUGGUGGGAAUAAGUCUAUCAAGAAGAAAAGUUGACCAGACUAAUUAGUCCCUUUCCAUGUUCCCAUUCUUCUUCAAGCUCAAAACACCUUGGUAAAUAUAUAUAAUUUUACGCGUGAAUUUCGACGUUUAUUCAUUAAUUUUGACCUUCAUAGUUGCUUUAGGCGCGUUCUUUAAAUUAAUUUUCUUUAAUUACUAAUUUUGGGUGUGCAUUUCAUGUGACCCGAUUCGAAUUUCCAACAAGGUUAAAUAGAAUGUGUCAUGAACCACGGACGCAUUUUAUGUAGCGUGGCUUGCGAUAUGUUUUAAAUAAUCUUGAAUUAAUUCUUUAAAUAAUUAAAAGCGGUUUAAAGUCAAAAAUGCAAAUAGGUUUGAACAUGUAUUAAAAUCAGAUAAUAUGCCAAUUAUAACAGUUGAGCGACCGUGCUAGAACCACGGAACUCAGGAAUGCCUAACACCUUCUCCCAGGUUAACAGAAUUCCUUACCCGAAUUUUUGUGUUCGCGGACUGUAAAACAUAGUCAAAUCUUUCCUCGAUUCGGGAUUUGAACCGGUGACUUGGGACACCCUAAAUUAUCUCAAGUGGCGACUCUGAAUUUUUAAUAAAAUGAUCCCGUUUCGAUUGUCACUUUAAAGUGAAAAAACUCCCUUAUAUACCCUUCUCGGGGGUGUAGGUAAAAAGGAGGUGUGAUAGUUAUUCAUGUGCGGUCCGCAAGUUCCGGCAUGUAUUUCCUCGAGCAAUCUUAAUGCCUUUUUGGCAUCAAUACACCAUAGUAAUCUCAGGUCAGGAGUCAUUCUAUACAAAAUUCCUCCGCUUUGAAAAAAAUGGUUGGCUAAUCUUCGAAGCGUACGCUUCUGGGUAUGGGUAGCAGUCUCUAUGUAUUCUCCAUUUCCUAGGUACUUCUUGAUAUCGUGGAACUAUGGAUUUCUGUCAAUCUCUUCUUCAACAUGAGCACAAUAAGCCGACUGCUUAUGAAUUCCUAUUGGGAUAGGAUCAAUGAAAUUCUUGUUUGGGUGUUGUAUCAUGGAAGACAAAUUGGCUAACACAUCUGCGAACUCAUUCUGAAUCCUUCGAACAUGUUUAGACUCUAUAUUUGUGAACCUCUUGAUUAGUUCUUGUACAUAGUGCAAAUAUGGCAAUAUAUUGGUGUUCUUCGUAGCCUAUUAUCCUAGAACCUGGUGCACCAAAAGAUCUGAAUCUCCGAUUACCAGCAAUUCCUAAAUGUUCAUGCCAAUAGCCAAUCUGAGUCCUAAGAUGCAGCCCUCAUAUUCCGCCAUAUUGUUGGUGUAUGGAAACUUGAGUUUUGCGGAUACCAGAGAGUGUUGACCAGUUUCUGACACUAAGACAGUUCUGAUACCUACUCCUUUGAAGUUUGCUGCUCCGUCGAAGAACAUCCUCCAACCAUCAUAUGCCUCGGUGAUAUCUUCCCCUACAAAUGACACCUCCUCAUCGGGAAAAUACGUUUUCAAUGGUUCGUAUUCUCUGUCUACAGUAAUAUUUGCCAAAUGAUUCGCUAAUAUCUGCCCUUUGACCGCUUUCUGAGUUACAUUGACGAUGUCGAACUCACUCAACAAUAUUUGCCAAAUGAUCCGCUAAUGUCUGCCCUUUGACCGCUUUCUGAGUUACAUUGACGAUAUCGAACUCACUCAACAAUAUUUGCCACUUUGCUAACUUGUCGUAGGCAUGGGUUUCUAAAAGAUGUAUUUUAGCAGAUCCAUCCUUGAUAUGAGAUAUGUAGUGUAUGCACAUUAAUAAUGUCUCAACUUCUGGGCUAUCCAUGUCAAAGCACAGCAGGUGCAUUCCAGCAAGGAGUACCGAGCUUCAUAAGGCGUGAAUUUCUUGCUCAUAUAAUAUAUCGCCUUCUCCUUUCUUCUGGUUUCAUCAUGCUGUCCCAAAAUGCAACCAAAAGCCACAUCUAAUACGGACAAAUAAAGCAACAGAGGUCUUACCAGAGCUGGCGGUUUAGAUAAAUACUCCUUGAUUUUGUCGAAGGCUUUCUGGCAUUCUUCAGUCCAACUUGUUGCAGCAUCUUUCCUCAGCAUUCUGAAGAUUGGUUCACAUAUCCCAGUUGAUUGUGCUAUGAAGCGGCUAAUGUAAUUGAGGCGCCCUAAAAACUCAUCACAUUUUUCUUAUUCUUUGGAGGUGGAAAGUCUUGGAUAGCUUUGAAUUUUGAUGGGUCUAACUCAAUCCCUCGACGACUAACGAUGAAUCCUAACAACUUUCCAACAGGGACUACGAAGGCACAUUUUGCAGUAUUCAACUUCAAAUUGUAUUUUCGAAGCUGGUCGAAAAAUUUCUUCAAGUCUGUUAUGUGAUCUGAAAUCCUUUAUGAUUUGAUGAUAAUAUCAUCCACGUACACCUCUAUUUCCUUGUGUAUCAUGUCAUGAAAGAUGGUUGUCAUGACUCUCAUAUAGGUGGCUCCAGCGUUCUUCAGACCAAACGACAUCAUUUUGUAACAAUAUAUCCUUCAUGGUGUAAUGAAGGCUAUCUUUCGGCAUCCUCUUCAUCCAUCCAGAUUUGAUGGUAUCCUGCGAAGAAAUCCAUAAAGGAUUGGAGCUCAUGCUUGGCACAAUUGUCAAUCAGUAUGUGUAUGUUGGGUAAUGGGAAAUCAUCUUUGGGACUCGCUUUGUUCAGAUCUCAAUAAUCGACACAUACUCUAACUUUCCCAUCUUUCUUCGGAACCGGCACAAUGUUGGCCAACCAAGUCGUGUAUUCGACUACUCGGAGAACCUUGACUUUGAUUUGUUUGGUGACCUCCUCUCUUAUCUUCAAUCUGAUAUACGGUUUGAACUUUCUGAGUUUCUAUUUUACCGGUGGACACGUGGGAUUAAUGGGUAGCUUGUGAGCCACUAUGGAUGUGCUCAAUCCAGUCAUAUCGUCGUAAGACCAUGCAAAAGAUAUCUUCAUACUCUUUUAGGAAUCUGAUGUACUCUUCCUUCUAUGACGGAUUUAUAUGAUUCUUAUACGUGUUUCCUUGACCGUUUCGUAGUCCCCUAAGUUAACGGCCUCAGUUUCCUCCAAAUUAGACUUUGGUUUGUUUUCAAAGUUUUCUACUUCUCCGACAAUUUCCUUAGGUAUGAUAUCGUCUUCAAGAUCCUCUAAAUCACUAUCCUUAUGUUGCGUUGUCUCAUUACAUGUCACAAUCGUAGGUUCAUCGGGAUAGGUAAUAAUAAUACUGAAAAGUAAAAUGUAAAAAUAAUAAUAAAUACGAAAAGCGGUAAAGCAUUGAUAAGAUCUUAAACGUCAACAAGUGUGUCUCGAUGGCUCGAGCAAUUAUUUCAAAACAAAAAUAUUGAAAAAUGCCUCAAAUGCUCAAAACUAUUUUUAAAGUAAUUCAUGCGAAUUUGCCAAGCUACCAAUGAACUCAACGGGCCGGGGAUGGUGCAACGGUCCAGUUCUUGAGAACAACUCCUUUCUCCAUAGUCUAAAUGGUAAGGUCUUCUUCUUCCUCCUCCUCCUCCUCCUCCUUAACUAUUGCACUGUAGUCCAUAUCUUCUUCAUCUAGAAAUAGCUUCCUCAUGCCAGCUAAAACUUCAUCUUCCUCAGAUUCCCACAUCAUGUCAGUUUGAUGGAAUGUCUGGUGCAAAGGUGGAACCAGUUGUUCCAGUGCAUAAUAAGGACCACGCCAUGGUGGUGACCAAUUCUGGUAUUCCUGCCAUGUGUAUUCAUAUCCGAGUCCAAAAAUCGUACCAUGACGCUAUGGUUGUACGAGUUUGGUGAUCCCUUGAAAAUUUUUGCCGAGACCCCUACUAGGUUCAUACCCCGUCCACAACAGUAUGCUUUCUAUCUUAUUGCUCCACCAUCAAUCCUUUUCAAUUGCGUUGAGUCGUUCAAUGCGAUAGUAUAUUUCUCCACCCAACUUCUUUUUGUUUUUUAUGAUUGGAACAGUCUGAUUGGUGUAAAUAGGGUUACUUCCAUCUUCAUGAAUGAUCACCUCCUGAUGAUUCCAUUCAAACUUCAUAGCCUGAUGCAGGGUUGAAGCCACUAUGCCGGCAACAUGUAUCUAUGGUUGCCCCAACAAUAGGUUAUAAGUAGCAGAUAUAUCUAGCACUUAGAACUCGACAUCAAACCAAGUCGGGCCCAUCUGUAGACUGAGGUUGAUUUCUCCAAUGGUGGCUCUUUAAGAUCCAUCAAACACCUUCACAUUCAUGCUUCCCAUCCGUAUCUCAUGCGGGACUUUACCCAAUCUCUUCAGAGUAGUCAGCGGGCAUAUGUUGAGAGUUGAACCUCCAUCUAUCAAGACCCUAGCAAUGAACUUAUCCUUAAAUUGUACCAUGAUGUGUAGCGCCCUGUUGUGACUCAGUCCUUCAGGUGGUAAUUCAUCUUCAUGAAAUGUGAUUUUGCGGUUCUCCAAUACCUGUCCGACCAUGUUAGACAUCUCUCCACUAGUGAUGUUGGUGGGUAUAUAAGCUUCACUCAACACCUUCAUCAAAGCAUUCUUCUGUGUGUCUAAGUUUUGCAGCAAUGAUAAGAUGGAUAUUUGAGCGGGAGUUUUUUUCAAGUAGUCAACAACAGAGUGCUCUAUCGCUUGUACCUUUCUCCAAAGAUCAUCAGUGCCAGUCUUGACAACCAGCAGCUUAGGUGCAACUUCCUUGCUUGUUCCUCCCAGGUUAUCGGGUGUAUAAACUCUGUCAGUUCUAGUCAUACCUUGUGUCACAUGUUUCCUCCACUUUUGCUUUCCCUUUUCUUCUUGCUUCUGCAACAUAGUUCUAUGGGAUGGCAUCAGACUUUUUACAAUAGUGUGGGAGUUACCAUUAUAGUGAAGGGUGUGGUUACCUUGACUUCAAACGGCGUCUGGGUCUGUACCACAACUGGUGUGAGAGUGACUAGAGAUGUUUUAGGAGCAUCCCCUUCUCGAAUGAGUCUGAUGGACCCCUCCUGAUCCCAUUCUUCAUCAGUCUCCAUCAUAUUUACUCCCCCAACUCUGCGAUCUGAGAGAGGAUUGUUACUAACAUUUGGUGCAACUUCCUUUGCCUGUAUGACCUUGGUGUCGAUCAGCGUCUGAAUCUUGUCUUUCAAUGUGCGACAAUCAUCAAUGGUAUGGCCCUUCAUACCUGAAUGAUAGACAUAUGUUUUGUUGGGGUUGAUCUAUUGGGAGGAAUUCUCUAUAACAAUUGCAGGAAUGGGGGUAACAUAACCAGCGACCUUUAGUCUGUCGUACAGUUGGUCUAGGGUUCAACAAUAAGGGUGUAUUGUCAAGGCAGUCUACGUUCAAAAUUUUGUCGUGGUUUAUGGUAGUUUUGUCGAGUGGGUGGUGGUGAGUGGUAAUAUACGGGUUGAGUGUUGUAGGUAUGGUAGGUGGUAGCAGGCUGUUGGUAUCUAGGGGUGAUGGUUCGUAUGUGGGUGGAGGUGUUUGGUAUGUGAGAGGAGACUUAGGACCCUGGGCUACCAUCACAGCACCUACUUCUUUCUUCUUUGAAAUGCCUCCUAAUUGCAAAGCUUUACUUGUGGCCUGCAGUGCCUCUAAAUUGGUCGCCAUCCCAUUAUUAAUUCUUUCUUCUAUUCUUUCUCCUAGUUUGAUGAUAUCGGAGAAUUUGUGAUUUUCAAUAACAAUUAACCUUUCAUAAUACUGUGGGUCUUGAGAUCUAACGAAGAACUUGUUCAUUUGUUCUUCUUCACGUGCUGGCCUUACUUUCGCGGCUUCUAAUCUCCAAUGAGUAGCAUACUCGCAUAAGGUUUCUGUCGGCUUCUUCUUAAGGUUUUGAAUGUAGAAAAUGUCUGGCGCAUUUUCCGUAUUGAACCUGAAUCUAUCCAUAAAAUCUGGCGCCAUGUUUACCCAACGAACCCACUUUUUUGGGUUUUGACUGAUAUACCAAGACAGCCUGUGAGGCUUCGCAUGAAUAGUUUCAUACAAAUUUGUUCAUUCUUGACCAUUCCUACAAGCUUGUCACAAUACAUUCUCAAAUGCACUUUCGGAUCACUAGUUCCAUUGAACAUUUCGAACUUGGGAGGUUUGUAACCCUCCGGCAGUUCCAUAUCCGGCUGAAUGCACAUGUCCUCAUAGUUUAGACCUUCAACGCCUUUACCACUUUUAACACUCUGAACUCUACUAGUGAGCUUCUUGAGUUGCUCCACCAUGUUCUUAAUGAGCAGGUCUUUCUAGGUCGAUUCAGGUAUAUAUAGGAUUUGUUGCAGGGUGUGGGUAAUGUCUCCACAUAUAUCAAAUUACUUUGGUGGUCUCCGGGAACUUGGGUAUAAAGGUGGUCAGUGGUUGAGUUUUGGGGAUUGGGAGUAGGUUGUGGUGUAUGCUGGGGAGUAUGAUAAGUAGUGGUUUGUGGGUAUUGAGUUGGAUUAUGGUGGUAUUGUUGAGGGGUUGGUACUGGUAGAGGGUUAAGGUUCUGGAGAGUUACGGGAUACUGGUGUGGUAUAGGAGGAUUCGGUGGUGGGUUUUGGUUUUAGUGUUUUGCUAUGGUAUUUGGUUCUGGGUAGAUGAAUUUUGCUAGUUAAUGUCGGGGACAUUGAGAGUGAGGGAUAGGUUUGCCAAAUUUCGGAACUGAUCAAGCUCGCCUUGUGGUUCUAGGAUUUUCUGUUCCAGAUGUACGACCAGCUCAUUUUGUGCCAGAGUACUUUAGCCAUCCGAAGUUUCAAUGUUUUCCACCAUGGUAGCAUUGUCUUUUCUGAUACCCCUCAAAUCAUCCAUUUUCCCCUUUCCAUUGCUUUUGCAUCUAGGAUCGCUUGGUGGAGGAGGAGACGGAGGACCUUUUGAUCUAGUGUGAUAUGCUGACGAUGCCAGUAUGCACGAACCAACCUUGGAGAAUGGGAAUAAUCAAAAGAAAAGAAAAAUCAAAAGGUAACCAAGUUAGUAAGGAAUAUUAAAAGAGUAUUUGCAAUAUUAAACAUAUUACACAAAGUCAUGCAAUGAUUCGCGUCCUAAUUUGGGGACCUCAUUGUGCCUGAUGUAGGCCUAAGCGACAAACAUACUUGAAGAAAAUCGAUGCCAACAAUUGCGUCAUUUCAUUAAUGCAGAAAUGAGUCAAACCUUUACUAAAUCGACAAUAAUAAUAAAGUUAUUAAUGGCAUUUAGCCUUAUUACAAUCAAAAUCAAAAGCUAAGCUAGAAACCAGUAAAGAACAUCAUUUCCUAGUCUACAUGGUCCUUGAAGGACCUUCUCCGUGCUUGGCUCUUUUGACCCCAUCAAUCAGGUUCCCCAGGUGGUGCAUAUAAAAUAGUAAGUAAGACUUUGCUAGAUGUCCUCCUUCACUGCUAUCCGCACAUUGACAAUCCGCACAUCAACCCUUGUUCCAUGUGUUCCAAUCUUUCUGUUGACUUAGUGGCAAUCUCCUUCCAUAAUUCUAUUGCUUCCAUGUUCACUUUGUGUUUGGCUUCAGACUCGAAAACCCUUUUGCGUAGCCUUCUCUACUUAACAUGUGCUUCAGUAGCGCCAUCUACGAUCCUAUCCUUCAGAUUGACUCCUGGCUUGACGUCUCCCGCUACAUCGGCCUUUAACCAUGAUAGGUAGUAGUACACAUGACCGGCAUGAUACCUGUCUGGCUCAAUGGUUUCUCUUUCCACAAUGAUCUUUUGGUUCCACAUAUGUUGUGCCUCGAGCUUGAAUGGAAUGAUGUCUCAUUUGAAAUUUGUCUUGUACUGGACUAUGUUGGAAACCCAAGGAAUGACCUGUUUUCUUCCCGCUUGUCUCAUUACCCUUAUAGGAGUAUAAAGAUAGAUGCCUCGCAACCCGAUCAAUACCAGAUGAGUAGUCCCUCUUGACCUGAUGAUGAACUCACUACUAGGAAACCACUCAAACAUCCAAUGUACCUGCUCAUCCAUUAGAUUACUGAAGAAUCGCACCCAGCUUACAGCAUUUCCAAGUUGUGUAAACCUGUCUGGGAUAUACAUUAUUUUCUUUGGGUGAUGGUAAGCUAUGUAGUCAUUCAAUGGCUAUCGCAGAAGCUCUUGACGGUACUCUCCCCUCUGAAAGUGCUCCAGCAGCCAGACUUGUAGUUACAAAUCACAACCCUCAAAGUGUCCAAAUCCCUGAUUGCACCGAUCUAGAGCGCGGUACAUCUCAGCUAAGAUCAUAGGGAUGAUGCUAUAAGUUUGUCCCUCAAUGCCUUCCAUCAAGGUCCUGGCGACCAUGGCUAAGCAAGUAUGAAUCCUUCCUUUUUUCAUUGGAAAUAUCAAUAACCCCAAAAAGCAGAUGAUGAACACAUAAAUACGGCGGUGCAUCCAACCCAAGGAAGUAUUGACAAGUUCAUCAUGAUGAAGACGAUACGACUUUCUAUGCCCAUAAAGCUCGUAAAGAAAUUCAAAAGGGAUGUAUGAUUUCUUCAAACAGAGCAACUUGUCAUUUUUCUUAAAACCCAACAUCUUUAGAAAACCGUGGGGGUGCGAUUCUCUGGUAGUAGUAAUCUUGGACUAUCCCAUGGUAACUUGGCGAAGCCACCUAUCUCUUCUGGGAGAGGAGUUAUUUCUAUGUUGCCAAAUAGAAAAACGACUCUUUUCUCGUCCCAGAACAUGGUAGGAGCCUUAGUCAAUGCCCUAUAUGGUCGCAUGUUUAGGAAGGAUGGCAGGACACCAAGUACUUUUCUCACAUGAUUCUUAUCGCAAGGUGCAAGGUCUUUUCACCAGUCAAGUAGCAAAGGUGGGAUGUUUUGGUCCAUACCGAACUUGGGGACUUCAUGCUUCAUUUUCUGCAGAAAAACAAUGGUUAGCCCUUUCCCCCUCCAGAUUUGACUACUUACGUAAUAAUGAUCAACAUGUUGGCGUAUUUUCUCCAAGUAAUGCGCGUAAUAUGAUAGUGUCCAUUGGGACUGUGGAAGUCCCGUCGGACAUCAGAAAAGGUUUAUCUUAGCGGGUUGUUACGUUAAUAACGCUUCAACUCGUACUAGGUUUAUACAUUUCAAGUUGGAGUAGGGUUUCUAGAAUGGUCUAGACUGGUACUCCCAAGUGGACAACUUGAGAGGAAAAAGCACGGGACCGUCGAUUGCACCGAUGAUCGACUUUAGAAGAGUGCGGACACUCAUCAAGCGCCGCUAUGUUGAUAAUUGGCAUGAGUAGAGUAUGAUGUGGAACAUGCUUUAUGCAGAGAUAAUAACAUGUUGCCAAGUAUUUGCAUGAUAGAAUAUGUAAAAGCAGUAAAUAAGAUAGCAAAAUGAACAUGGAAAAAAUAGAGAAGAAAGACAAAAGAAAGAAGUCACUUUAGUUCAUAAAAAUAUAUGCGGGAAUGUAAUAAAGCAGGUAAGGAAGUAGGGAUGUGAAAGGCAUUGUAUGGCAGUUUUAGUCAAGAUGAAAAGAGAUGAAGAGUGGUCAUAGCAAAUAAAGGUGAAUGGGGAAAGGAUGUGCAUGUCAUAGCAAAUUUAAACAAAUAAAGGUGAAUAGGGGAAGGGAUGUGCAUGUCAUAGCAAAAUUAAACAAAUAAAUGUGAAUAGGGGAAGGGAUGUGCAUGUCAUAGAAAAUUUAAACAAAUAAAGAUGAAUAAGGGAAGGGAUAUGCAAGCAACAAAGAAAGUAAUCCACAUAGGUCAAGUUCAUUAUGGUAAGAGCCAAAGUGUAAAUCCCCAGUAGAGUCGCCAUGCUGUCGCUUUUCGUUUUCUCGCUAAAGCGGGUUUCGACAUGUGACAACUCUUUUAAAGUAGGUAUUAAAAGAGGAGAGUCUCCACCUAACUAUUUUUAAGGUGUGUUAGGGCAUCUAUUCGCAAAUAACUCUGUUUUAACUAGUCGACAUCACCAAAGAUUGGAUAAGAGCUCAAAUUACCUCAAAGAGAAGGUGUUAAGCACUCUUCGAGGUCCAAAACUGUGGGUCCCGGUUGAACUUUAAAACUAUGUGGAUUAUGUAAUUAGGCUAGGUGAUCAAAUAGACAAAGGGAAAUAUAGAAGUCGAAGGGUCUUAUCAUAACACAUUGGGAAUUUGUACAAAUCUUUUAAUGAUUACAAAGAUACGAAUACAUCAGUCUAUGUCAAAUGACUAAGUGUAAAUGACAAGUAUAUAAAGAAAAGGGGGGGGGGGGGUCCUAAGUUUUAGCCUAAAGAAUCACCCCGUGCAACAUAUAUAAUACUUCGCAACUCCCUUAGAGUAGGGUUUGCUCAUAUUAUUCAGCGGGCACAAACUAUCAUCUCCUGCUACCCAAUUACUAUGUUGAAGUUCUUUACCUAAAAGCAUUCUAAUUCAAUUCUAAGUCGUACCCUAUGCGUGUGUUACUCGUCCCAUGUCUAUGAUCAAAAAAGGCUUUAGACCUCUAUUUGGGUGGUUCCAGACUCAACUUAGAUUGCUCAAAAAUGACAAAAAAACUAAGUGACAUUACAGAUAGGACUUCACAUAAAGAUAAUUAAAGGCCUAAGUUAGCCUCCACAAAUAAGCAACAAAUGCAUACAGACAGAUUUCACAUUAUACAGUAGGCAGUUUCAGAAUCAAGGUGUUGUUUAAAACCUAUAGGCAUGGCUUCUAAGUGACCGCACAGUUUAAGAAUGUCUCAUGGGUAGUGCUGCUAUUUGGAUUAUCUAGAUUACAAAUUUCAAGCUAUGAAACCUAUAGACAUAAUCUCUAAGUGAUUUGCGUAAUGGAAUAGUGAAAGUCAUUGGAAAACUCAGAAUUAUUAGUAUUUGAUCCUAUUGACAUGAUUUCUAAGAGAGUAUCAAUAUUUAUAGCCAGGUUCUCUAAUAAUUGAUAUUUGAGGCGCAGAUUUAUCAUGCUUAUUCCUAUAGGCAUGUUAUCUAGUUGGGCAGAGUAAUAAGACAAUGUUACACCCUAUGUUUUUGUACGUAAGGGUACGUCUUAAGUCAAUUGAUGUAAGACAACAAAUGAGAUCAUAUUUGGAAAUAUAUAAAAUAAGUUAUCAUGUUACCUUGGAUGUUACACAUAUUGAAGAUCAUGAACAACAAGUACAAAGAGGGUUGGGGUGAGACUAGGUUGCUUAACUUGAUAAGAAGGUCAUGUUAUGAGUUAUGUUAGUUAUAUGAUAAUCGUGUGUUAUGUCUGUGAUGGGUUUCCAAUGUCUUAACUUUAUAUUUUGAUGAUCUAACCAACUUACUGUCAAAGAACCAGAUAAGGAACCUGACACACUUGGUACAUAUUGCUAAUCAACGGACUCCAGCUAAAGUGAAUUGCUACAACUUCAGGAGAUAGAGAACCAACACAAGGACCUGAUACCCUUGUGUUUCCCUAACAGCAGUAUGAAGUCAACUAUGUACAGCUGGAAAGUGACUGUCUGCACUGUACACAACAACAGUGCAGCGCAGUUCUGCAGUCACUUAUCCUUUGACCAACCAAGUGAUUACAUCAUUCAAGUGAUGUCAUCCAAGUUGUAUUAAAUAAUGUAUUACAAAAAAACAUCACUUGAACACUUGAGAAUUCACUUCAAGCAUUCAAGCCAUCUGAUAUUCGAGCAUUCAAUUCUCAAGUGCAUCAAGAACAAAGUUUAACACUACUAUGGACCAGUUCCUAAAUCUAGUAUUUUGUUGUCCUUAAUUGAGUUGUAACUUUGUAAUUGUUCUUCAUUGUAAUUCCUAAUUUGCUUAGCUAGAAGCAUUGCUUAGUAACCCUCUUGUAAAAUCAUAAACCCUUAGUGUUUGUGUCGUGACUAGAGUUAGUCAUAAAUUGAAGUCUUUGUAAUAGGUGUAUUGCAAAGUGGCUUGUAAUAGGUGUAUUACAAGUUAGUGAGGGAUAAAGAGUUUAAUUCCUAGA